rnacentral:rRNA from 1 species
ACGUAGGGUGCAAGCGUUAUCCGGAAUUAUUGGGCGUAAAGAGCUCGUAGGCGGUUUGUCGCGUCUGCUGUGAAAACCCGAGGCUCAACCUCGGGCCUGCAGUGGGUACGGGCAGACUAGAGUGCGGUAGGGGAGAUUGGAAUUCCUGGUGUAGCGGUGGAAUGCGCAGAUAUCAGGAGGAACACCGAUGGCGAAGGCAGAUCUCUGGGCCGUUACUGACGCUGAGGAGCGAAAGCAUGGGGAGCGAACAGGAUUAGAUACCCUGGUAGUCCAUGCCGUAAACGUUGGGAACUAGAUGUGGGGGCCAUUCCACGGCUUCCGUGUCGCAGCUAACGCAUUAAGUUCCCCGCCUGGGGAGUACGGCCGCAAGGCUA